UUAAUGAGAGUUUGAUCCUGGCUCAGGACGAACGCUGGCGGCGUGCCUAAUACAUGCAAGUAGAACGCUGAAGAGAGGAGCUUGCUCUUCUUGGAUGAGUUGCGAACGGGUGAGUAACGCGUAGGUAACCUGCCUUGUAGCGGGGGAUAACUAUUGGAAACGAUAGCUAAUACCGCAUAACAAUGGAUGACACAUGUCAUUUAUUUGAAAGGGGCAAUUGCUCCACUACAAGAUGGACCUGCGUUGUAUUAGCUAGUAGGUGAGGUAAUGGCUCACCUAGGCGACGAUACAUAGCCGACCUGAGAGGGUGAUCGGCCACUCUGGGACUGAGACACGGCCCAGACUCCUACGGGAGGCAGCAGUAGGGAAUCUUCGGCAAUGGGGGCAACCCUGACCGAGCAACGCCGCGUGAGUGAAGAAGGUUUUCGGAUCGUAAAGCUCUGUUGUAAGUCAAGAACGGGUGUGAGAGUGGAAAGUUCACACUGUGACGGUAGCUUACCAGAAAGGGACGGCUAACUACGUGCCAGCAGCCGCGGUAAUACGUAGGUCCCGAGCGUUGUCCGGAUUUAUUGGGCGUAAAGCGAGCGCAGGCGGUUUGAUAAGUCUGAAGUUAAAGGCUGUGGCUCAACCAUAGUUCGCUUUGGAAACUGUCAAACUUGAGUGCAGAAGGGGAGAGUGGAAUUCCAUGUGUAGCGGUGAAAUGCGUAGAUAUAUGGAGGAACACCGGUGGCGAAAGCGGCUCUCUGGUCUGUAACUGACGCUGAGGCUCGAAAGCGUGGGGAGCGAACAGGAUUAGAUACCCUGGUAGUCCACGCCGUAAACGAUGAGUGCUAGGUGUUGGAUCCUUUCCGGGAUUCAGUGCCGAAGCUAACGCAUUAAGCACUCCGCCUGCCAGGAGUACGACCGCAAGGUUGAAACUCAAAGGAAUUGACGGGGGCCCGCACAAGCGGUGGAGCAUGUGGUUUAAUUCAGAAGCAACGCGAAGAACCUUACUAUAAGGUCUUGACAUCCCGAUGCUAUUUCUAGAGAUAGAAAGUUACUUCGGUACAUCGGUGACAGGUGGUGCAUGGUUGUCGUCAGCUCGUGUCGUGAGAUGUUGGGUUAAGUCCCGCAACGAGCGCAACCCCUAUUGUUAGUUGCCAUCAUUCAGUUGGGCACUCUAGCGAGACUGCCGGUAAUAAACCGGAGGAAGGUGGGGAUGACGUCAAAUCAUCAUGCCCCUUAUGAUUAUGCUACACAGGGCUACACACGUGCUACAAUGGUUGGUACAACGAGUUGCGAGUCGGUGACGGCGAGCUAAUCUCUUAAAGCCAAUCUCAGUUCGGAUUGUAGGCUGCAACUCGCCUACAUGAAGUCGGAAUCGCUAGUAAUCGCGGAUCAGCACGCCGCGGUGAAUACGUUCCCGGGCCUUGUACACACCGCCCGUCACACCACGAGAGUUUGUAACACCCGAAGUCGGUGAGGUAACCUUUGGAGCCAGCCGCCUAAGGUGGGACAGAUGAUUGGGGUGAAGUCGUAACAAGGUAGCCGUAUCGGAAGGUGCGGCUGGAUCACUCCUUUCUAAGGAA
rnacentral:rRNA from 1 species